rnacentral:misc_RNA from 1 species
AGAGUUAAAUAGUACGUGAAAUUGUUGAAAGGGAAACGAUUGAAGUCAGUCAUGCUUGCAGGGAAUCAACAAAGUGGUUUUCUUCCUUGUGCACUUCCUUGCUUGGCAGGUUAGCAUCAAUUUUGAUUGUCAUUAAAGAACUCGGGGAAUGUGGCUUCUUCGGGAGUGUUAUAGACCCUAGUAGAUGUGGCGAUUGGGAUUGAGGAUUGCAGCGAAUGCUUCUUGGCUAGUCACCUAACUUCUAAUGAUCACCUUGCUUUCGAUAGCUUGCUAACGUUGGUGAGAUUUGAUUGUCUAGAUGUUGGAGUGAUCAUAAAUUCGCUAAGGAUGCUGACGUAAUGGCUUUAAACGA